rnacentral:rRNA from 1 species
AUGAACGUUGGCGGCGUGGAUUAGGCAUGCAAGUCGAGCGGUAGGAGUUCACUCACCCGGGGCAUAUAGCCCGGCCAUCUUGGCCGGGAAUUGUGUGUUCCAGGUGAGUGGACUCUGAGAGCGGCGAAAGGGAGAGUAACGCGUAGUUACGUGCCCCAGGGUUCGGAAUAGCCACGGGAAACUGUGGGUAAUGCCGAAUAACAUCUUCGGAUCAAAGGUGUGAUUCCGCCCUGGGAGCGGACUGCGUUGUACUAGCUAGUUGGUAGGGUAAUGGCCUACCAAGGCGAUGAUGCAUAGCGGGCGUGAGAGCGUGGCCCGUCUCACUGGGACUGAGACACUGCCCAGACACCUACGGGUGGCUGCAGUCGAGAAUCUUCGGCAAUGCGCGAAAGCGUGACCGAGCGACGCCGUGUGUGGGAUGAAGGCCUUCGGGUUGUAAACCACUGUCGUAGGGGAGGAAGGCUCCGUGAAGAACGGGGUUUGACCUAUCCUAGGAGGAAGGACGGGCUAAGUUCGUGCCAGCCGCCGCGGUAAUAC